rnacentral:rRNA from 1 species
CCUACGGGUUGCACCAGUAGGGAAUCUUCGGCAAUGGACGAAAGUCUGACCGAGCAACGCCGCGUGAGUGAAGAAGGUUUUCGGAUCGUAAAACUCUGUUGGUAGAGAAGAACGUUGGUGAGAGUGGAAAGCUCAUCAAGUGACGGUAACUACCCAGAAAGGGACGGCUAACUACGUGCCAGCAGCCGCGAUAAUACGUAGGUCCCGAGCGUUGUCCGGAUUUAUUGGGCGUAAAGCGAGCGCAGGUGGUUUAUUAAGUCUGGUGUAAAAGGCAGUGGCUCAACCAUUGUAUGCAUUGGAAACUGGUAGACUUGAGUGCAGGAGAGGAGAGUGGAAUUCCAUGUGUAGAGGUGAAAUUCGUAGAUAUUCGGAGGAACACCAGUGGCGAAGGCGGCUUACUGGUCUGCAACUGACGCUGAGGCGCGAAAGCGUGGGGAGCAGGCAGGAUUAGAUACCCGAGUAGUC